rnacentral:tRNA from 1 species
CGAAAGAUAGUUUAAUUUAAAAUAUUGGCUUUGGGGGCCUAGGAUGAGUCGUUACUCUCUUUUGA